rnacentral:tRNA from 1 species
CGACCGCUGGGGCGUGCGCCUGGGCCCGGUGCCGUGCAAGACGGUGUGGGCGGAAUGCGGGUUCGCUCCGCUCGGUUCCGCCGCCGACCGGUCAC